UUUAGAAGGCUGAUUUAUUAUUUUAUGAUACAUAUAUCAUAUUAAAACUAUACUAAAAGAAUAGAAGAAAGGAUUUCAUCAGAAGGCUAGCUAAGAAUAGAAAAAGAAGGAAUGAAUAACAAAGGCUUGUGACUGACCGAGACAGUCUGGACAGCUGGACUGUGAUUGGCCAUUAAUUAGAAACAACCAACAUGAGACCAAUCACAGAUGCACCUGUUGCAUUCCACAGCAGCAGAUAAUCAUUGUUUACAUUUUGUUCCUGAGGCCUCCCAGCUUCUCAGGAGAAAAAAUCCUAAAGAAAGGAUUUUCCAUAAAACAUGUCUGUGACACAGGCUGUGCUCAGGAGCCACUGGCAGCCACUCCUCUGUCCCCACUAUGGCCUUGGGGACAUGAAUAAAACAUCUUCCAAGGUGCCCUGGCAGAGCCCUUUCUCCAGGGUCACAGGAUCACUUAGGUUGGAAAACACCUCUGAGGUCAUCAAGUCCAACCUUUGAGUGAUCUCCACCAUGUCAACUAGACCGUGGCACUGAGUGACACAUCCCACUCUCCGGGGACAGUGACCACCAUGCCCUUGGCAGCCAUUCCAAUGUGUCAUCCCCUGUUCUGUGAAGAGCUUCUUCCUAAUGUCCACCCUGAACCUCCCCUCCUGCAGCUCCAGGCCAUUUUCUCCUGUCCUGUUGCUGUUUGCCUGGCAGAAGAGGCUGAUUCCCCCCUGGCUACAACCUGCCAGGGAGCUGUAGAGAGUGACAAGAUCAUCCCUGAGCCUUCUGUUCUCCAGGCUAAACACCCCCAGCUCCCUCAGCCGCUCCUCCUGCUCCCGACCCUUCACCACAUCCCUCACCCUUCUCUGGACACACUCCAUCACCCGACUGUCCUCCCUGAACCGAGGUGACCAGAACUGGACACACUCUCUGGAGGCCCUGUGGGUAAAACCUGGGUGUUUCCCCUGGGUUUCCCUCGGUGAUCCGGCCGGACAUUGCCAGACAUCCCCGGACAUCGCCGGACAUUUGCAGAUACUGUCGGGACAUCCCCGGACACUGCCGGACAUCUUCAGAUAUUGUCGGACAUUCUCGGACAUCCACGGACAUUGCCGGACAUCCCCACAUCUCCGGACAUCGUCGGACAUCUCCGGACACUCUCGGACAUUGCCGGACAUCCCCGGACACUCUCGGACAUCCUCGGACACUGCCGGACAUCCUCGGACACUGCCGGACAUCCCCGGGCGCUCCGGCCCAGCGCACUGCGCUCCCAUUGGCUGGCUCGGAGUCGCCAACGCCCCCGCGCUGACCAAUCAGCGCUCGCCGCGCCUCUCCCGCCCCUCCGGGGAGCGGCGGGGGCGGGGCCAGGGCGCGCGGGGGCGGGGCCGCGGCUCGCGGGCUCCUCUUAAACUCCGCGCAUCCCCCCACGCCUUCAUCUUCCUCUUCCUCCUCAUCAUUAUCGUAAUCAUCCAUCAUCCUCAUCCUCCUCACAGGCUCCAUCCCCGCCGUCCCCACAGCGGCGGUGUCCUGGGCAAGGUGCGGAUCGCGCGGCUUUGAAGAGAGCUCCAGUCUUGUGACCCACAGCGGUUCUUCUCCUGAAGAAAAUCCAGUUUUCUGUGCCACCACCCCCACCAAAAACCAUGGAGAAGUUUGUAUCAGAAAAGCCUGUUCCUGUCUCUAAGGUACUCACAGCUCUUUGGGGAGUACUUGUUUCUUAAUCAGGCUAAGCAAUGUUUCUUAUCAAGACAAUUAAUUUAUUUACCUAUAUAUAUGUGUGUGUAAAAAAUAUUGCCUCAAUUAUCUGGUUUGUUCCUUACUUGUUAUAUCUAAAGGCUGGCUUUCCAAAAUGUUGUUUCAGAAUCAUAAAAUGUGUUGAAAUAACUGAAGCAGAGCCCAGGAGAGCUCUGGAAAGUUCUGGAUUUCCCCACCCCAUUCAAGGGAUUAAUAAAUAAAAAUAAAUAAAAUAAACUGAAGGGAUU
ensembl:lncRNA